rnacentral:rRNA from 1 species
UACGAAGGGGGCUAGCGUUGUUCGGAAUUACUGGGCGUAAAGCGCACGUAGGCGGAUUUGUAAGUCAGGGGUGAAAUCCCGGGGCUCAACCUCGGAACUGCCUUUGAUACUGCAAGUCUUGAGUCCGAUAGAGGUGAGUGGAAUUCCUAGUGUAGAGGUGAAAUUCGUAGAUAUUAGGAAGAACACCAGUGGCGAAGGUGGCUCACUGGAUCGGUACUGACGCUGAGGCGCGAAAGCGUGGGGAGCAAACGGG